rnacentral:rRNA from 1 species
UACGAAGGGGAGCUAGCGUUGUUCGGAAUCAUCUGGGGCGUAAAGCGCACGUAGGCGGAUGUGUUCAGUCAAGGGGUGAAAUCCCGGAGCUCAACUUCGGAACUGCCCUUGAUACAAGCACAGUCUUGGGUCCGGAAGAGGUGGGUGGGGAAUUCCAUACGUGUAGAGGUGAAAAUUCGUAGUAUAAUUUAGGAAGGAACGAACCGGCUGGGCGGCAA